AGCGGAGCUGCGGACCGCGCGCGCCGGGCUGCCUGCAUCCGCGAGGCGAUGAUACGCGUCCCGCAGCCACGGGAGUGACGGCAGCUCGAGCGGGGACCCCGCGGGCUCUGCCUCCGCGCGCCACCGCCCACUCCGCUCCGCUCCGGUCCGGUCCGGUGCGGUGCGCUGCGCUGCGCUGUGGAGAGCCGGGAACGGCGCGCUCCGUCCGGGGUACACAGACAGCCCUGGAAGGAACUGAGCCAGGAUUACUCUGUCCGCCCGCAAAGCUUCUUCUGAUACCCAACAAACCCAGUUCCUCAGAGGAGGGCUCGUUAUUAUUAGAGGUGACCAAAGCAAGAAUUUCCAGCUCAUGCCCCC
rnacentral:lncRNA from 1 species